rnacentral:lncRNA from 1 species
AGAGGAAGCAAAGACUACUCACAGGGACUGUGGACAAAUGUUCAUGGAAGACUAAAAAGAGAUGGCCAGGCUGUAUGUCCAGGGAAGUAUGAAUAAAGCAGACCAGGCGGGUGAGUAAGGGAGACGGGGAGCUGGGGGAAGAGGAGGACUAAGCUACUGGGAAAUACAUCCAGGAGAAAAGGAAGAGAUUGGGAACAAGUGGCAGAGAAACAUGUGCUGUGGAGUAGGGGCAGAGAGAGGAAAAGAAUAGAUAGGAUUUGAAAAGUCAAUGAAAAAAACAGAAGGGCUUUAUACCACAAUGAAGACAGCUAAAAUAUACAAAUACUUCUCCACCUACGCAAUUGCUGUAGUUGCACCAGGGAUGUUAUGGGAUCAGAAAUAGGAAGACAGGUGAGAUAUGCACUCAUGAUUGGCAGGGGAGAUGUUCAGAAGAUACUCCAUUAACAUGAAUGAUGAGGGUUCAUGCUCUGUGAAGUAUGAGAGCCCCUGGCCCAGGAGUUAGUCUGACUGUUAAAUAUAUUUGGAAUGAUUGAUUAUAAAAUUUGUUCUCAAUUUAAAGCCACUUUAAAGGUGGAAGUAAUUACCAGCAGGUGUAAUAGAGAGAAGAGCAGGUGGCCUGAUUCUCCAUUCCUACGGGUGUAAAUCAGGAGUUACUCCACAGCUCUCAAUGGAGUUAUGUGAGUAUAAGCAAGAUGACAAUCAGGCCUAUGGUGCAUAAAACCACUGGCUCAUCAAACUAGACUCAGUGGAAGCUGCAGGUGCUCACCACCUCUGAAAAAUCAAGCCCUAUCUGUGUUAUCAGAAACAUUUUCAAUCCUCAGAUCUCAAAGCAUUGUGAAAAGUGAGUGUUAUCUCCAUUAAUGGGUGGGGAAACUGAGGCACAGAAUGGUUAUGACUUGCUCAAGGUCAACAAGCACGUCAAUGGCAGAGCUGGGAAUAGAUUCCAAGGCUGGUACAGGUUUCAGAGUAGCAGCCAUGUUAGUCUGGUACACUCAUUCUACAAUAAACCCCCAAUUCCGUCAGCUCGUUGGGCCUAAUUUUACAAUUUGUGGGAUCCAGUUUUGCAUAAUUCCUUUUACGGUAGCGGAUUUGCUGGAAUCUACAUAUGUGGCACUCAAAGAUCAACUAACUCAGUUUAUCAGAAAUGCAUUUGCAAUUACUAGUCUUCAAAUUAGCAACACCUUUCUGAAAAGAGGGUCAGAUUCAACAAUGAAUCACACUGGUGGUGCCAUUAAGCAAGGAUUAUGA